CAUUGUCGCAAAUGGCUGUGAGCCUGUGAUUGCGAACACUGAAGUGUUUUUCUUGAUCGGUUUGUCGAAGUUUGUACUGUAUGCAGGGGAAGUGGCUUCUAAAUGAGAUAAAUUACGGGCCAGAACUUAGAAGAGUUAUGAAUCCAUCGAAAACCGGAGCUGGUACUGACGAGCUACAGGAACGAACACUGUGGUACUUCGAUGUAUUGACCUGUUUGAAAGAACACGAAACCCCCUUCCAAUUAAUUAAGCUCCAUUAACAUAACCACGUGGAUGAGGCGAAGCAGAAGAUGAAGAGAGACGUGAUGUGUGUGCCCGAGCAAAACAUUAUCAUGCUUCAUAUGUACAUAAAGAAGAUACCUCUUAGAUAUGAUCCAAAUGCAAUAACACAAGCUGCAGAUGCUUUUUUUU